rnacentral:rRNA from 1 species
AGAGUUUGAUCCUGGCUCAGAUUGAACGCUGGCGGCAUGCCUUACACAUGCAAGUCGAACGGUAACAGGUCUUCGGAUGCUGACGAGUGGCGAACGGGUGAGUAAUACAUCGGAACGUGCCCAGUAAUGGGGGAUAGCUCGGCGAAAGCCGGAUUAAUACCGCAUACGCCCUGAGGGGGAAAGUGGGGGACCGCAAGGCCUCACGUUAUUGGAGCGGCCGAUGGCUGAUUAGCUAGUUGGUAGGGUAAAGGCCUACCAAGGCGACGAUCAGUAGCUGGUCUGAGAGGACGAUCAGCCACACUGGGACUGAGACACGGCCCAGACUCCUACGGGAGGCAGCAGUGGGGAAUUUUGGACAAUGGGGGAAACCCUGAUCCAGCAAUGCCGCGUGUGCGAAGAAGGCCUUCGGGUUGUAAAGCACUUUUGUCAGGGAAGAAAUCCUUUGGGCUAAUACCCUAGGGGGAUGACGGUACCUGAAGAAUAAGCACCGGCUAACUACGUGCCAGCAGCCGCGGUAAUACGUAGGGUGCAAGCGUUAAUCGGAAUUACUGGGCGUAAAGCGUGCGCAGGCGGUUGUGUAAGACAGGUGUGAAAUCCCCGGGCUUAACCUGGGAAUUGCAUUUGUGACUGCACGACUAGAGUGUGUCAGAGGGGGUGGAAUUCCACGUGUAGCAGUGAAAUGCGUAGAUAUGUGGAGGAACACCAAUGGCGAAGGCAGCCCCCUGGGAUAACACUGACGCUCAUGCACGAAAGCGUGGGGAGCAAACAGGAUUAGAUACCCUGGUAGUCCACGCCCUAAA